CGGUGGAGCAUGUGGUUCAAUUCGACGCAACGCGCAGAACCUUACCUGGUUAAAUCCACUAGAACCUUCUAGAGAUAAGGUCCUGGCUAGUGACGGUGUGACGAGCGCAACCUCUGUCGUUAGUUGCCAGCGAGAUGUCAAGUCUCAUGGCCCUUAUGCCCAGGCUACAUACAUGGCCGGUACAAGGGAUGCAAGACCGCGAGGUGGAGCCUCCCAAAAAACCGUCCUCAGUUCGGAUUGUAGUGCAACUCGACUACAUGAAGCUGGAAUCGCUAGUAAUCGAGAUCAGCAUGCUACGGUGAAUACGUUCCCGGGCCUUGUACACACCGCCGUCACACCAUGGGAGUCAGUUGCUCUAGAAGUCGGUGCGCCAACCCCGGAGGCAGCCGCCUAAAAGUGACUGGUGACUGGGGUGAAGUCGUACAAGGU
rnacentral:rRNA from 1 species